UUCGGGCCGUUGAGGAUCCAAGCUUACUUCUCAAGACACUUGGAGUUGCUUCCCCAAGUUGGUGAGUCCUCAAGUCCGAGGACAAGACCAUAUGAUCUAGCUUCUAUGUUUAGUUCUUUGCUUAUGUUGAAAUACAUUGUUGUACUUCCUAUUUGCAAGACUUCUUAUUGAUGUAAGGGCUAAGUCCCAUUUUCGAUACUUCUAUGUCUAGAUGGUGCAUUGUGACGAAGUUAGAUUCUAUUUUUCAUAUAUGAAGUGGAGUUGAACUUCCAAAGUAAAAGUUUUAAAUUUUCCUUGAUUUUAUUCUAUGAUACAUGUUAUGAUGAAUGCUAAGG
rnacentral:lncRNA from 1 species